rnacentral:rRNA from 1 species
GACGGGGGGGGGCAAGUGUUCUUCGGAAUGACUGGGCGUAAAGGGCUCGUAGGCGGCCAACUAAGUCGGACGUGAAAUCCCUCAGCUUAACUGGGGAACUGCGUCCGAUACUGGAUGGCUUGGAUUUGGGAGAGGGAUGCGGAAUUCCAGGUGUAGCGGUGAAAUGCGCAGAUAUCAGGAGGAACACCGGUGGCGAAGGCGGAUCUCUGGGCCUUACCUGACGCUGAGGCGCGAAAGCUAGGGGAGCGAACAGG